CGCAGGACAAAGAAACUAAGCGUGCCACGUCGAAAAUCCCCAAAGAAAACAAAAGUUAAAUUAGUGAGGAAUACUUCUUAGAAAAUCUUCUUUGUUCAUUGUGUUCCAAGGGGCAUAUAGACGGGUCGACUUUGCAACUUGAACGGCAUUUCCGUAUAACCAUAUCUUCGAGCAAAAAUGUUUCUUGUUCUUGCCGCAAUUUUCCUUCUGCUAUUACCGAUGCCUGGACAAAGCCGGCAAUAUGCUUUUGGAGCGCGUUGUCGUGGAAAAAGUGGUAUAAACUGUCACCGUCCUGCACCUCCAUCUACUCCAAGACCUACAACACGUUACACCUAUGGACCUCCCUUUCACAAUGGAAAGGGACGCUAAAGCAGUACCAUUCAUGGUGGAUCGAAAUACCUGCACCAAUGCAGAACUGGGCAACGUACUUCAGUCUGCAGCCCUGCUAAGCGCAACAUGUGUAAAGAAUAAAUGUUGUUUUAGCACUGCCGAAAA